rnacentral:snoRNA from 1 species
AAGCCAUGAUGAGGGCAAGCAUUUAUAGCUUCCAUGUAUCUUUCCCAACACUCAUAGAAUUUUUCAUUCUCUUUAGCUGAGAAAUUUGAAAUUUUCCUUUUCAAGCCA